rnacentral:rRNA from 1 species
AACGAACGCUGGCGGCAUGCCUAACACAUGCAAGUCGAACGAGACCUUCGGGUCUAGUGGCGCACGGGUGCGGAACGCGUGGGAACCUGCCCUUAGGUUCGGAAUAACUCCCCGAAAGGGGUGCUAAUACCGGAUAAUGUCUUCGGACCAAAGAUUUAUCGCCUUUGGAUGGGCACGCGUUGGAUUAGCCAGUUGGUAGGGUAAAAGCCUACCAAGGCGACGAUCCCUAGCUGGUCUGAGAGGAUGAUCAGCCACACUGGGACUGGGACACGGCCCAGACUCCUACGGGAGGCAGCAGUGGGGGAUAUUGGACAAUGGGGUAAGGCCUGAUCCAGCAAUGCCGCGUGAGUGAUGAAGGCCUUAGGGUUGUAAAGCUCUUUUACCCGGGAUGAUACUGACAGUACCGGGAGAAUAAGCUCCGGCUAACUCCGUG